ACGCCCCCACGUGAUCCCGCAGUACUACAGCCGCAAUUUCAUUGGCCACCUCAACCUGCGCCACUGCUACUACAUGGAUGAUAUGACUAACAUCAACCAGACUGAUGAGAUGAACAUUCAGUGUGCAAGUUCUAGCAUCAUAUAGGGAAAAUAUUUAGGUCUUGUUUACAUUGUAACCACAACAGAGUUUUAAUGUUUUUGUUGUUGUUGUUGUUGUUUUUCUGAACGACAUAAAAAAAAACUGCUUGGGAAGAAGAUUCUGAACAACAAGGACAUAAACAACUGCGAAAUCGAUAAAAGAUAUGGUAUAUCAAAGAUGUGAUACAUGAAGAAAAUUGACGAAUUUACCAAUGUUAUGUGAAAUAUAAUGCUGUAUGUGGUUGGAAAUGUUUUGAUUGAAAUGCUUUUAAAGUAACAGAAAGUAA